rnacentral:rRNA from 1 species
CCUACGGGUGGCAGCAGUGGGGAAUAUUGGACAAUGGUGGGAACCCUGAUCCAGCGACGCCGCGUGAGUGAAGAAGUAUCUCGGUAUGUAAAGCUCUAUCAGUAGGGAAGAAAAUGACGGUACCUGACUAAGAAGCCACGUUUACCUACGUGACAGCUGCCGCGGCAAUACGCAGGCGGCAAGCGUUAUCCGGAUUUACCGGGUGUAAAGGGAGCGUAGACGGUUCAGCAAGUCUGAUGUGAAAGGUCGGGGCCCAACCCCGGGACUGCAGUGGAAACUGGUGAACUGGAGUACAGGAGAGGUAAGCGGAAUGCGUGGUGUAGCGGUGAAAUGCGGAGAUAUUAGGAGGAACACCAGUGGCGAAGGCGGCUUACUGGACUGUAACUGACGUUGAGGCUCGAAAGCGUGGGGAGCAAACAGGAUUAGAUACCCUGGUAGUC